UAGGAAAGUCCGAAGCUUGUAAAACUAAAACUCAUAUUGAAGAGAGUAAAAGUAAAAAUUUUGGUAUUAAAGAGAAAAUAAAACCCAUCUUUUUUUUUUUAGUUAUAAUUAUAACUAAAUGUAUUAAUAAAAAAAGGAUAUAUAUAUAUCCUUUUUUAUUAUAGGCAGUAAAAGAAGGUUAUGAAACUACAAGCCUAAGUUAAGCCUUAUUUUAGUUUAAUAACUAUGACAGGAUCCGGCUUAA
rnacentral:RNase_P_RNA from 1 species